rnacentral:rRNA from 1 species
UACGUAGGGUGCAAGCGUUAAUCGGAAUUACUGGGCGUAAAGCGUGCGCAGGCGGUCUUGCAAGACAGAUGUGAAAUCCCCGGGCUAAACCUGGGAACUGCAUUUGUGACUGCAAGGCUGGAGUGCGGCAGAGGGGGAUGGAAUUCCGCGUGUAGCAGUGAAAUGCGUAGAUAUGCGGAGGAACACCGAUGGCGAAGGCAAUCCCCUGGGCCUGCACUGACGCUCAUGCACGAAAGCGUGGGGAGCAAACAGG